GAUGAAGAACGUAGCGAAAUGCGAUAAGUAAUGUGAAUUGCAGAAUUCAGUGAAUCAUCGAAUCUUUGAACGCACCUUGCGCUCCUUGGCAUUCCGAGGAGCAUGCCUGUUUGAGUGUCAUUAAAUUCUCAAGACCUGUCUGCUUUUUUGAUAGGUAUUGGAUUUUGGGGGUUGCAGGCUGUUUCAAAUAAAUAGCCUUGCUCUCCUUGAAUGUAUUAGUGGAGAAAAGCCAUUGAACUCCAUUGGUGUGAUAAAACCUAUCAAUGCCAGGAGCAAUAUCACUACUUCUCUCUGCUGUCUAACUGUGACUGUCUGUAUUAAUUAGUAUGGAUGGGGACAACUUGACCAACUUGACCUCAAAUCAGGCAGGACUACCCGCUGAACUUAAGCAUAUCAAUAAGCGGAGGA
rnacentral:misc_RNA from 1 species